rnacentral:rRNA from 1 species
UGGGGAAUCUUGCGCAAUGCGCGAAAUCGUGACGCAGCAACGCCGCGUGGGGGAAGAAGGCCUUCGGGUUGUAAACCCCUUUCAGGAGGGACGAAGGUUGGGCGGUUAAUAGCCGACCUGACUGACGGUACCUCCAGAAGAAGCCCCGGCUAACUACGUGCCAGCAGCCGCGGUAAUACGUAGGGGGCAAGCGUUGUCCGGAAUCAUUGGGCGUAAAGAGCGUGUAGGCGGUUCGGUAAGUCGGCUGUGAAAGUCCAGGGCUCAACCCUGGGAUGCCGGUGGAUACUGCCGGACUAGAGGUAGGAAGAGGAGAGUGGAAUUCCCGGUGUAGCGGUGAAAUGCGCAGAUGUCGGGAGGAACACCUAUGGCGAAGGAAGCUCGCUGGGACGUUACGGACGCUGAGACGGGAAAGCGUGGGGAGCAAACAGG